UCCACGCCGUAAACGAUGCACACUGGGUGGUGGAGUCUCUGACGGCACCACCGCCGAAGCAAAAGUGCUAAGUGUGCCGCCUGGGGAGUACGGCCGCAAGGCUAAAACUCAAAGGAAUUGACGGGGGCUCACACAAGCGGUGGAGCAUGUGGCUUAAUUCGAAGCAACGCGAAGAACCUUACCCAGGUUUGACAUGCUUGGAUGCAAUUCCGGGAUAACCGGAAGCGCUGCCCUUCGGGGUGAAACUUGCACAGGUGUUGCACGGCUGUCGUCAGCUCGUGCUGUGAAGUGUCGGGUUAA
rnacentral:rRNA from 1 species